rnacentral:lncRNA from 1 species
UAAUUUGGAUUUGAGGUCAUACACGACAAAUAAGUUGGCAAAAGAGUUUUAGAGUUUAGUUCUCAGACAAUAAUCACUCAUACACUUGAAAACUUUACAUCUAGCUUUUUGAAUCUAAGUUAUGAGAGGAUUGACGCUUGGAUUUUCUUAGCUUGUUGUUCCUAUUCGAAGUUCGUGGUAAAAGAAUCGCUGGCCUCAAGCUUGUUGUCGUCCAGUUCUCUGCCCCAAAAAAGGUAAUACUAGUCUUUGAUUCACGCCUCUUUUGUGCCUAAUGUAAGGACGAUUUGCUUUUGAUAGUUGUGUAGUGUUAGAUGUUGGUAUCCUGGGAGUGUCAUGACUUACUGUUGGUUGCCAAACUUUGAUACAAGUUUGUUUGUUGAUUCAACUGUUCUCUUGGUUUGUUUUGCUCGAAGCUUUCUAAUUCCGUAUGGCAUUGAGUUGGUUUCGUUCUAUUUUCUUCUUGUUAUUCUAACUAGUAUAAAUCAUGUGAGUUGCUUUUAAGACUAAGUUCCGUAAUCCACCUGAUGGUUGCUGCACCUCUAAAUUUCUUAUUUAAUAAUGUUGAUUACGUAUCCUUCGUUAUCGGGUAAUUCGAGUUAACUUGAAUCAAUAAAUUAGUCAUUUCCAAACCUCUGGAGCAUUUUUCUUUUUCUUUCUUGUGCUAAACUCGCCUUAUUUAAAUGAUCUAUUUAGCUAGUUAGUUUCUCAGUUGUAUGUCUUUAUCAUCUUCAUCCGUAAAUCAUGCUAAAAUUGAAUCUUGUCAUCCGUACUCAAGUUGGUUUUGAAUGUCUCUUUCUUCCGCUUCUCUCAAUUGCUUGGGAUUUAUUAUCUCAUUCGUGUAACAUGUCCUAUUUUAAUCGAAUUUAUGUCUCCAUUUAGUCUAAGUUUUAGUCGAAAAAUGCUUAAGUAAAAUGUAAUGGAUCAUUUUUUUUUCUCCGUUUCUUAUUAGUAAUUUUCUUAUCUUGUUGGCUCUGUUGUUUAAACUCAUAAAGAUUACGAUGUCGGUAAUUAGGAGGUCGUAGGAUUCACUUCAACAAUUAUCAAAGUAGUUUAUGUUUUGCUUCUGCUCUGUUUUGAUAGCUACUGGUUUAUCUUCUCCUUUCUUUAUAAUUGAUCUAUUGUUUAUUUGUUUUAAGUUCAUUAAGGUUGUGACCAUAAAGUGGAAAGUUGGCUAAAUAAAAAUGAUUUUACUAACAUUCCACCUGAUGCCUUCCAAGAUUAGUGUAAGUUUAGGAUUAUCCAAGUAUUGUGGCC